rnacentral:rRNA from 1 species
GACCUGAGCUCAGGCAAGAU